AUGCAGUCGAACGAUAACGGGUUAUAGCUUGCUAUAACUGUCAGCUAGCUGGCGCGCGGGUGAGUUAUAUAUAGGUAACAUGCCUUGAGGAAGGGGAUAACGUUUGGAAACGAACGCUAAUACCCUAUAUGCCUUUAUGUCAUAAGACAGCAAGGGAAAUAUUUAUAGCUUCAAGAUGGGCCUGUACAGUAUCAGUUAGUUGGUGAGGUAAUGGCUCACCAAGACAAUGACGCUUAACUGGUUUGAGAGGAUGAUCACUCAC
rnacentral:rRNA from 1 species